GCUUCCAUGGUGAAAUGGUAGACACAGUAGAUUCAAAAUCUUCCUUUUGCAGGUUCGAGUCCUGCUGGAAGCA
rnacentral:tRNA from 1 species